rnacentral:lncRNA from 1 species
UAGGGCAUAUGUGUCACGCCUCGAACCUUGGGAGGCAUAGCAGGCACCCGGUGUCGUGCUGGCCCGAGCGAACCACUCUGUAACUCAUGAUCGUUCGACCACACUACAACAUACAUAGGCCGAGUUGGCUGAACUCAUUCCUUUUAUAACUAUCAUGGGCCCACAUGGCCACAACUCAUAAUGUACAACUAUUAGUGAAAAACACUGUAUCACUAAACCAUUUUUCUUAAAACAUGAAUACAUAUGGGCCGUCAAGGCCUCUGACAUACUGUACAAAAUGAACCUCUAUCUACAAAGCCUCUAAGACUAUUUGACAUCUAAUGAGAUAGGGUACCUGCCUACCCAUAAGUCUGUAGCAAAACUCUGACGCGAUGACUCAUAGACUCGGCUGCACAUCGAAUGAGGUGGAGUCUUACCGAUCCUCGCUAAAUGCCAAUCUCAUCUGCUAUGAGUGAUCGUCAAACUGAUUAUUUAUACCUGCAGACAUGAAUGUAGUGUAUCCAAUAAAAGGACGUCAGUACGAAUAAUGUACUGACUAUGGAAGACACAUAAAUAAGUACAUAAAUGACAUGGAAGAAAUAUAGAGUAAAUGACUCAACCUGUAAGUCUGGAUCACUCUGUAAAUCAUGGAAUACUUGUAGUGUCAUGCAUAUGCGUAUGAAUGUCAUAUCGAGCAUAUGUACAUGUGUUCAUGACAUCAUCAAGCCUCUGAGGGCAUCCCAUCAUAUCAUCUCGGCCAUUGUGGGCAAAAUCAUCAGCGUAUGCCAGCUGAUCAGGUGAUGGUGCGUAUAUAACACCAUAACCUUUCCUAUAUAUAUAUAUAUAUAUAUAUUACGCGUAUAUAANN